rnacentral:rRNA from 1 species
CAGCUCGUGUCGUGAGAUGUUGGGUUAAGUCCCGCAACGAGCGCAACCCUUAUUUAUGUUGCCAGCAAGUAAUGUUGGGGACUCAUGGAAGACCGCCGGGGUCAACUCGGAGGAAGGUGGGGAUGACGUCAAGUCCUCAUGCCCCUUAUGUCCAGGGCUGCAAACACGCUACAAUGGCCGAUACAAAGGGUCGCUUGCCCGCGAGGGUUGGCCAAUCCCAUAAAGUCGGUCUCAGUUCGGAUUGAAGUCUGCAACUCGACUUCAUGAAGCUGGAGUUGCUAGUAAUCCCGGAUCAGCACGCCGGGGUGAAUACGUUCCCGGGCCUUGUACACACCGCCCGUCACACCACGAAAGUCGGCAACACCCGAAGCCGGUGGCCUAACCGAAAGGAAGGAGCCGUCGAAGGUGGGGUCGGUGAUUGGGGUGAAGUCGUAACAAGUACCAAUCG